rnacentral:lncRNA from 1 species
UAGUAUAAUUAUUAUAAAUUUACUAUAUAUUUUGGUAACUCUUUUACAUAUUUUUUUUAUAUUUUCUGCUAGAAUUAUAAAUUUUUUCUUUUCAUCGUCAAAUUUAUAAUUAAAAGACUAUUAUUACACAAACUCAAAUCUCCGAUUAUGACAUCAAUCAUUUGGAAUUCGAAAAAAUAUCAACCAUUUCAAGUUUUUGAAAUUCACAAGCUAGUAAAAGUACAUUAGGUGUUUAAUUGACAACUUUGAGGUCACGGGUUCAAACCUCAUUGACAUAUGUAGGGUGUGUGAGUUAUUAAUAAUUUUUUUUUUUUAAAAAGUACAUUAGGUCACUAGCUAUUAAACAUAUAUACCUACUUUUUUCAAUACCGCAUGUCAAGACGAACAUGUAGUACUUCAAAAUGGUCUGCAAGAUCAUAACUAAAACUGAUACAAAAAAGAAAAAAGAAAAAAAGAGACAAAACCCAAAUGAACCGAUGUUAAUUAAACAAUACAUGUGAUUAUAAGGAAGCAGUCGAAAUUCGGGUCAUGAAUUCUAAAAGUAUUUUUUUUUUUUGGGUAUGAAACUGUAAAUUGUGGAGAAGAGUCAAGUUUAGGGAAGAAGUAAUCGUUUAGAUGGUUUUAGGGUAGGAGAUUAGAUUUAUAAUUGUGAUUUCUUUUUCUUUUUUAAUAAUACAUGCCUAAAAUAUUUGAUGUGAAACAUAAAUUAAUAUGAGUGUAUAUUAAGAGAUUAGGGGUGUGUAUUUACACUACCAGGACAAUCACUUUAGCCGACGAAAAAUUUUUGUCGGCCUGUUAGCUUAAUUCAUCGGCUAAGAUCUUAGCCGACGAGCCAUCGUCGGCUAAGAUUUCGUCGGGAAAAGGUCGUCUGUGAUGACUUUCGCCGACGAAAAAAAAAAUUUCGUCGGCUAUAGUCCCGCAGUUUAGCCGACGAAAAACAUGUCGUCGGUUCUUUUCCCAGACUUUAUCCGACGAAACAAUUAAGAUAUUCGUCUGCUAAAGUCUGUAAUAAAAAAAAAUUUCCCAGACUAUAACCGACGAAAUAUAGUAUGUUUCGUCGGCUAAACCUUAUAAAAAUAAUUUAAAAAAUAACUCUAGCCGACAAAAUAUAGUCUGUUUCAUCGGCUAAACCUUAUAAAAAAUUUUAAAAAAUAACUAUAGCCGACGAAAUAUAGUCUGUUUCGUCGGCUAAACCUUAUAAAAAAAAUUUAAAAAAUAACUAUACCCGACGAAAUAUGCCAUAAUUCGUCGGCUAAACCUUAUAAAAAAAUUUAAAAAUACUAUAGCCGACGAAUAAACCUUUAAAUAUCGUCGGCUAAACCUUUAAAUAUCGUCGGCUAAAGUUGCUGGUUUUUGAAAAAAAAAACUGCAGAAACUUUCGGCCACCUCCAAUCACCACCAAAAUUUGACAGAAUCUUCCUCUCAACAUUUCGAACAACUUUCUAGAAGAAGUCGAAGCCCAAUUCUAAGCCUAAACAGGUCAAUUGAAUCAAAAUAUAAAAAUCCCCAAUUUUAAACCCUAAAAACUUCAAAUCUUCGAUUCUCCUCACACACACCGAAUCGAGCUACCAAAUUCUAGGAGAAUGUAGUACUAAUCAAAGUCAACUUAUCCAUAUAUAGAACUCACCAAAUGGUGACCUGAGGAAGGAGAAAUUCGAUCGACACCGAAUCCGAACCGACGGAGUUUUGGAGCUCGAUUUAUCUCUCACGGCGGCGCCACUCGAUGUACCACCUGUCCAGCAAUGAAGUAGAGACGACGGCGAUAGUUUUGGGACAAGUGUGGCGGUCUCCGGUGGCUUCACGGCGGAGCUAGGCCGAGAAGAAAAUCUGGCAGGCGAAAUAGAUUUCUUACCAUCCACCUUCGGUAAUAUAUAGAACUUUAGCCGACGAAAUUCUUUAUUUUCGUCGGCUAAACUCUUUUGAAAAUUUUGAAAAUUUUAGUUGACCGCCAAAAAAUUUUGGUUGAAAAUUUUGAAAAUUUUUCGACUUUAGCCGACGACUUUUCAUAUAUUUUCGUCGGCUAAAGUCCUUUGAAAAUUUUCCUCCAAAUUUGGUUUACCGCCCAAAAAUUUUUGUCCUUCGCCGACGACUUUUUUAAUAUCUCGUCGGCUAAAAUCUAUAAACUCACGAAAACGCUUAUAUCUCCCUCUAUAUUACGUAGUUUGGUCAAACCUUCCACACGAAAAACUUUCACGUAGAUGAGACGCAACCGCCUAUAUAAAAAUUUUGAGACAUUUACCUUCCGACGAUAGGGCUUCCCAUAGUGAAUAAUAACGGUAAAUAGGGUUGACCACUACUAUCGGCACCGAGACUUUACCCGAUUUACGUGAUUUUUGAACCAUAGCCGUAUUUCACCAUUCUGAACACAUCUUAUUUCAGGAGAUUUUUGAUAAUUUUGCUUCCUAUGUAGAGUUGGUUCACAAAAUUGUAUAACCUACUAAACAAGUUAUACAACAUUAGUAGACACGUUGUGAUUCCGAUGACUAAAAUUCACAAACCAAAAUUCGACCGUCCGAUAUGAUCAUUAUGACGAAAGAUGUCUAUGGUAAAAAAUUCAACUGGAUCCGACAACGUUAAGGACUCGAUCGAAACGGUUAACCCUAAUCCAUCGUCACUUAUCACACGAAAACGCUCAUAUCUCCCUCUAUAUUACGUGGUUUGGACAAACCUUCCACACAAAAAACUCUCACGUAGAUGAGACACAACUGCCCAUAUACAAAUUUUGAGACAUUUACCUUCCGACGAUAGGGCUCCCCAUAGGGAAUAAUAACGGUAAAUAGUAGACACGUUGUGAUUCCGAUGACUAAAAUUUACAAACCAAAAUUCGACCGUCCGAUAUGAUCAUUAUGAAGAAAGAUGUCUAUGGUAAAAAAUUCAACUGGAUCCGACAAGGUUAAGGACUCGAUCGAAACGGUUAACCCUAAUCCAUCGUCACUUAUCACACGAAAACGCUCAUAUCUCCCUCUAUAUUACGUGGUUUGGACAAACCUUCCACACAAAAAACUCUCACGUAGAUGAGACACAACUGCCCAUAUACAAAUUUUGAGACAUUUACCUUCCGACGAUAGGGCUCCCCAUAGGGAAUAAUAACGGUAAAUAGUAGACACGUUGUGAUUCCGAUGACUAAAAUUUACAAACCAAAAUUCGACCGUCCGAUAUGAUCAUUAUGAAGAAAGAUGUCUAUGGUAAAAAAUUCAACUAGAUUCGACAACGUUAAGGGCUCGAUCGAAACAGUCAACUCUAAUCGGAAAUAAGAAAACUGCAUUUUGAAGCCCUAAACGGACUCGGAUGGCCAAAAAGGCCCAUACAUCAUAGCAUUAGCAAUGAGUUUGACUCGUAGGGCCGUUACGCUUCCGGAAAGGUAUCACAAUAGUCAAUCGGACACCAAAAACCAAAUCUGUAACAUAGUGAAUAAUAAGGGUAAAUUGCAUUGACCGCAACUAUCGGCACCGAGACUUUACCGGAAUACCGUGAUUUUUCAACCGUGGACGUAUUUCACCAUUCUGGUCAUAUCUUAUUUCACAACUAUUUUGCGUUUGAAGGUUCUACGUACAGUUUUUUUUUUCCCAGAUGAGUUGUUGUCUAGAUCUGCAAAUAUAAAGCACUUUAGCCGACGAAAUUAUAUUUUUCGUCGGCUAAACUUUUAAAAAUUUCGUCAGCUAAAGUUCACAGACUAUAGCCGACGAAAAAAAUUAUUCAGACGACGAAAUUUUAAUUUCGUCGGCUAAAGUUGACCAUAGCCGACGAAAAUUUUUAAUUAGCUGAAGAAGGGAAAUUUCGUCGGCUAAAGUCCACUUUAGCCGACCAAAAAAUAAUUCGUCGGCCUGGUUUUUUUAUUUUCAUCGGCUAAAGUCUUUCUUCUGGUAGUGUUAAAAUUACUCAAAACAAAUUGACACAAACGUUAGCGUGUCUUAUGAGGCUAGUAUUUUAUAACCAUUCCCAAUAUGAUAGUGUUAAAACUGCAAAACCACGUACUCUAGGAUUUCAAAAAAAUUAUUCUAUCUUUGUCCUACUAGGGGACGUUGUUGUUGGACGGGAUUCUAGGGCGGGCAAAUGGUAGCUAAGCCCUACAGCAGGUUGGCGGUGGAAUGAGAGAGAGAGAGAGGUUGUUCAUCGGUGCAGACUGAGAUGCUGUGGGAAGAUUUGUAUUGCAAAUUUGCAAUGCGGUGUUAUUCCGGUGGGGGGGAGGAUGUUGGCGCCGGGUAAGAGCGAUCAUUCUGACCUAUUCAAAAGGGCGAUGACAUGGAGCGGUAAAGUGAUGAGAUGGAGAAAGCGAGGCGGCGACUUGGCUAGUUUGUGGUUUUGAUUCGAGUCUCUUUGCUCCGAUUUGUUUGUUGUUGUUGAAGGGUGGUGUACUGUCUCUAUAAUUUGAGAUGGGUCAAGGAUGGUGGUUCUUCCUUGGUGGUGACCGACGUUGGCGAUAGACGUUGGCGGUGGACGACGUAUCUGCAUUCAGGUUUUUCAACCUCUUGGGCCGGAUCUAGGGUGGCCUUUUCCUUGAGCUCCAAAAGGCUUUGGCUGGGCCUGGGUUCCCCUUGGGCCUAAGUUUUGUUGGGUCUAUUUUGUUUUAGUUUUUCACUUUUUACGUCGGUUAGUUCUUGUUGAUCAAUGUAAUGGGGAAGUUAUUUGUACAUAUAUGCUGGUAAUUUUGGUAUAUAUAUAGUGUUUGAAAUGGUUGAUUCUUCUUGAGGGUAACUAUAAGGAUGUUAUCGAGACUUCUGGAUUAAAUUAAAUUACAGUUGAACCUUUUCGGUUCUUAUCCACUGUAAUUCAUUACCAGGACCAAUGUUCUAAAAGGCGCUAGGCGCUAGGCGGGCGGUAACCCACAGCCUAGAGCCUGGACAGCCUAGGCGAGGAUUAGGCGGGGACUAGGCGAUUUGUAUUUUUUAAGAUUUAUUAAUUAAAAAUAUAUAUUUUAUGCAAUUUAAUAUUUGAAAACGGUCAAAUAUAGAUAAAUUAUUCAACAUAAUCUAGUCAUACUCAUUUAUAAAAUAAAUUAUAACUAAAAUUUAGCAUAACUUCCUGUAAAAAUGAGCAACAACAGCAAUAAACAUAUACACUUCUAAUUUUAAACACACAAUUAACUCUUAUACUCUCAUACUCCCCACAAUAUAACAAUCCCACACAAAAAGAAAACAAAAAUAGCCGUAGAGCUUAGCAGCCUAGGCGGGCAAGGCGGCAUCUAGGCGGGCUAGGCGGCAUUUAGGCGAGCUAGGCGGCCGCCUAAUCGCCCACAGCCUGGCACAAAGGCCUGGAAGAAAAGCGAGACGGCUUGUUACAGCCUAGAGCCUAGGCGGGGACUAGGCGGUCCUAGGCGGGGCCUUUUAGAAGCUUGACCAGGACAAGCACUUUAGCCGACGAAAAAUUUUCGUCGGCCCGUUAUCCUAAUUCGUCGGCUAAAGUCUUAGCCGACGAGCCUUCGUCGGCUAUAGUGUCGUCGGGAAAAGGUCGUCGGCGAUGGCUUUAGCCGACGAACCUUGAGACCGUCGUCGGCUAUUAUCCAAACUUUAGCCGACGAACUAUUUUGUCAUCGGCUUUUGUUCAUGCAUUUAAGCCGACGAAAAUACUUCGUCGGCUAUUGUUCCAGACUUUAGCUGACGACAUCCUAUUUCGUUGGCUAUACUCCCAGACUUAAGCCAACGUAACAAAAAUAUUCGUCGGCUUUACUCCCAGACUUUAACCGACAGAACAGAGAUAUUCGUCGGCUAAAGUAUGGUUUAGCCGACGAAACAUGCCAUAAUUCGCGGGCUAAACCCUAUGGAAAAAAAAUUAAGAAUGCUAUAGCCGACGAAUUGUGGCAUGUUUCGUCAGCUAUAACUCCAUUCCAGUAAAAAAAAUACGUGAAAUUUCUAAAUUAUCAUUCCAAGCAAGCUGCAAAAAACACUAAAACAAUUCUAUAUAUAUAACCAACAAGAAGCACAUAAAACUAUAUAAGGUACCAACUACACAAAAUCUAGAUAGUUUAAAUCAAUAUCCGAUUCUGGGGCCUGCUGGUGAGGAGAUUGCGGCGGCAGAGGUAACUGUAUAGGCGCAGGCAUGGGCGGAGGUGGAAGUCUCUGAAGCUGGGCAGCUGUAAAAUCCUGGAAGUACUGGAACAUCUGCUGAUGCUGGGCCUGCUGGGCGGCAUGUAGGGCUCUAGCAUAGGCUCUAUAUUCGAUGAUCUGGGCGGCAUGAGCGGCAACCUGAGCAGUCGAGGCUCUCAACUUCCGACUCUAGUUGAGUCGUCGUGCUGCUAGUCGAGGCUGCCUUUCGUUGAAAUCCUGGAGUGGUCUUCAGGACCCCCUGGCCCUUCUUUCCUAGACCCCGGCAGUAGAAGUUGUUUUCUCGCAGUGGGAAGGCUGUGCCCAUGAUACUCGCCCCAACCCUCGGAUCUGAAGUGUCGAUCCGGGAUAUGGCUUCGGACAUCUCUUCCUCCUGCGUGUCCGGCCAUGUCUCCCUCACUAUAGCACUCAUCACCUCGUCACUAGCCUCCUUCACCUUUGCCUAAUUGGAUAGAAAAAAAAUUAUUAAUUAACAUUUUGACAUAUAUAAGUAAAAUUAAAAAUUCCGUAAAAAGGAAAAAUUACUUACUAUAUCCUCCUGGGAGUCAGGAUAUGUCUUCUCGUACGUAUAGACGUACUGGUUGACCUCUGGAUGUUCCCUGGCCGCCUCGUCCAUGAAGACAGCGAACGGUCUAGAACCGGCAUGAUGGUUCCUUGUGUUGCGUUGCCGGUUGACACGACCCACCCCAAAUUUCACCCUGAAACCCAGAGUAAGUCGUGCGGGGACCACCUCCAAGGAAAAUUUACCGAAAAAUCGGCAUAACCUCCCUUGAAAAUGGACAACCCUUCCUAUUAACACCUGCAAACACUUCUGAAAAUUUAAAUCCAACCUUAAACUCCUGGAACCUUCGUGCUCCCCAUAUCACAACAUCUCCCAAUUUAAUUACCAAUUUAAACAAGAUAAUCUCAUAGCCAACAGCCACAGUUCAGAGCAACUCUAUUUGAAAGGAAAUAAACUAGAAAUAUAAAAAUGAGCGGAAGCUACACUAUUGACUAUGCCUCUUCUCCAAAUACGUCCGACCACAACUAUGCAAUCCUGCAAACUGGGCAUUUUUAAAACGAAGAGCCCAGGGGAAAACAUUUGAAAACGAAACGUUAGAGUGAGUGGACAAAAAUAAAUUUACGAAUAAAAUAUUUGUUUCCCCAAAACAAUUUCCAAAGAAANNNNN